AACGAACGCUGGCGGCAUGCCUAACACAUGCAAGUCGAACGAGACCUUCGGGUCUAGUGGCGCACGGGUGCGUAACGCGUGGGAACCUGCCCUUAGGUUCGGAAUAACUCCCCGAAAGGGGUGCUAAUACCGGAUAAUGUCUUCGGACCAAAGAUUUAUCGCCUUUGGAUGGGCCCGCGUUGGAUUAGCUAGUUGGUAGGGUAAAAGCCUACCAAGGCGACGAUCCAUAGCUGGUCUGAGAGGAUGAUCAGCCACACUGGGACUGAGACACGGCCCAGACUCCUACGGGAGGCAGCAGUGGGGACUAUUGGACAAUGGGCGAAAGCCUGAUCCAGCAAUGCCGCGUGAGUGAUGAAGGCCUUAGGGUUGUAAAGCUCUUUUACCCGGGAUGAUAAUGACAGUACCGGGAGAAUAAGCUCCGGCUAACUCCGUG
rnacentral:rRNA from 1 species